rnacentral:lncRNA from 1 species
GACUGCCAAAAGCCAAAGAUGAAAGAGGUUAGAAUAACACCACACCACGCAAAGGUGAGGAGGUAAACGUGGCUAACCCCAAAGACCAGGCGUGCGUUGGGAUGGGAAAGCUUCCUCGCGGUGAGUCAAAUGUUUUAUUAGCUUUAUCCAGCAAUAACAUCCCAGCGCACGGCUCCGUGCCGCACGGCUCCGCGCACAACCAAGGGAACACCGGGGAGGAGAGGUGCCGGGGUGCCCCGGGGCGAGGAGGGCAGGUUCAAGGGAAAGCUGCAUUCCUGGAGACGCUGGGACAUGCCUGUGCCGACGCCAUGCCCCCCACCUUGGACCCCAAACAUUUGUUAAACAGCUUUUCUGUGGAAGAGAGCAAACAGCAGAGGUCUGGAGCUGCCUCCUCCUCCUCAGCUGUCCCACAUGUCCCAGGGGACCCGGCAGACCCCUCUGUGUGCAGGUGGGGCCACCACAGCCACGCUGUGUCACCACCGACCUGCAGGCACCCACCCAGGGAGAAUGUCCUUACGCACCCUCAGGUCACUGGAAGUGGGUCCCAGGUUCAUUUCCCCGGGUUGUUUCUGAGCUGAUUGCCAAAUCCCAGCCCUGCUGAUUGCCUCUUCACAACACGCCGAUAAAGCCGCCUUAAGCCACGUGUGCUCCCCCAUCCCAAAACGUCCCCGUCGCUCCUGUCCCCUUCAUCCCCAGCUCCCAAGGCAGCCGAGUCCCCAGCCCAGCCGGCACAAGGCUGGUGACAGCUCCUGUCCCCCGAGCGGUGCUGGCACCUCCCGACACGGCAGCUCCUGUCCCGACCAAGCCCUCUGAGCCUCCCAAGCAAACAUUUCUCCAAAGAAAAAUUUCCAAGGGGGCA